UGGGGAAUAUUGCACAAUGGGGGAAACCCUGAUGCAGCCAUGCCGCGUGUGUGAAGAAGGCCUUCGGGUUGUAAAGCACUUUCAGUAGGGAGGAAGGUAGUGUAGUUAACACCUGCAUUAUUUGACGUUACCUACAGAAGAAGCACCGGCUAACUCCGUGCCAGCAGCCGCGGUAAUACGGAGGGUGCGAGCGUUAAUCGGAAUUACUGGGCGUAAAGCGCAUGCAGGCGGCCUGUUAAGUCAGAUGUGAAAGCCCGGGGCUUAACCUCGGAAUUGCAUUUGAAACUGGCAGGCUAGAGUCUUGUAGAGGGGGUAGAAUUUCAGGUGUAGCGGUGAAAUGCGUAGAGAUCUGAAGGAAUACCAGUGGCGAAGGCGGCCCCCUGGACAAAGACUGACGCUCAGAUGCGAAAGCGUGGGGAGCAAACAGGAUUAGAUACCCUGGUAG
rnacentral:rRNA from 1 species